GGGCCCGCGCACCAUUAGCUUGUUGGUGAGGUAACGGCUCACCAGGGCUACGAUGGUUAGCUGGUCUGAGAGGAUGAUCAGCCACACUGGAACUGAAACACGGUCCAGACUCCUACGGGAGGCAGCAGUGAGGAAUUUUGCGCAAUGGGGGAAACCCUGACGCAGCAACGCCGCGUGAGUGAAGAAGGCUUUCGGGUCGUAAAGCUCUGUCAAGUGGGAAAUGAUGGUACCACUGGAGGAAGAACCGGCUAACUCCGUGCCAGCAGCCGCGGUAAUACGGAGGGUUCAAGCGUUGUUCGGAAUUACUGGGCGUAAAGGGCGUGCAGGCGGGUUGGUAAGUCAGAUGUGAAAGCCCUGGGCUCAACCCAGGAAGUGCAUUUGAAACUGCCAUCCUUGAGUAUGGGAGAGGAGAGUGGAAUUCCCAAUGUAGAGGUGAAAUUGUAGAU
rnacentral:rRNA from 1 species